GACGAACGCUGGCGGCGCGCUUAACACAUGCAAGUCGAACGGUAAGGCCCGCUUUUCCUUGUGGGUUGCGGGUACUCGAGUGGCGAACGGGUGAGUAACACGUGAGUUAUCUGCCUCCAACUUGGGUCUACGUCUGGGAAACUGGGUCUAAUUCCCGACAGGACCUCAGGGUGGUUCCUGUGGUGGAAAACGAUUUUCUAGUGGUUGGGGAUGAGCUGGCGGCCUAUCAGGUUGUUGGUGGGGUAAUGUACUACCACGGCGGCGACGGGUAGCCGGCCGGGGAGGGUGGACCGCCACGGUGGGGAGGAGAGACGGCCAAGACUCCGACGGGAGGCAGCAGUGAGGAAUAUUGCACGAGGGGCGGAAGCCUGAUGCGGCGACGCCGCGUGGGGGAUGACGGCCUGGGGGUUAUACACUUCUUUCGGCCGCGAGGAAGCCACCUGGUUGGAGGGGGGGUGACGGUAGUGGUAGAAGAAGCGCCGGCUAACUACGUG
rnacentral:rRNA from 1 species